rnacentral:rRNA from 1 species
UACAGAGGGUGCGAGCGUUAAUCGGAAUUAUUGGGCGUAAAGCGCACGUAGGUGGUUAGAUAAGUCAGAUGUGAAAUCCCUGGGCUCAACCUGGGAAUGGCAUUUGAUACUGUUUGACUAGAGUAUGGGAGAGGGAAGUGGAAUUUCCGGUGUAGCGGUGAAAUGCGUAGAUAUCGGAAGGAACACCAGUGGCGAAGGCGACUUCCUGGCCUAAUACUGACACUGAGGAGCGAAAGCGUGGGGAG